rnacentral:rRNA from 1 species
GAUGAACGCUAGCUACAGGCUUAACACAUGCAAGUCGAGGGGUAGCAGGGUAGCAAUACCGCUGACGACCGGCGCACGGGUGAGUAACACGUAUCCAACCUUCCCAUAACUCUGGGAUAGCCUUUCGAAAGGAAGAUUAAUACCCGAUAGUACUUUUUCAAGGCAUCUUGAAAAAGUUAAAGAUUUAUUGGUUAUGGAUGGGGAUGCGUUCCAUUAGAUAGUUGGUGAGGUAACGGCUCACCAAAUCUUCGAUGGAUAGGGGUUCUGAGAGGAAGGUCCCCCACAUUGGUACUGAGACACGGACCAAACUCCUACGGGAGGAAGCAGUGAGGAAUAUUGGUCAAUGGGCGAGAGCCUGAACCAGCCAAGUAGCGUGGAGGAUGAAGGUCCUAUGGAUUGUAAACUUCUUUUAUAGUAGAAUAAAGUGAUCCACGUGUGGAUUUUUGUAUGUAUACUAUGAAUAAGGAUCGGCUAACUCCGUGCCAGCCGCCGCCGUAA